GAUGAGAACGUAGUGAAACGCGAUAUGUAAUGUGAAUUGCAGAAUUCAGUGAAUCAUCGAAUCUUUGAACGCACAUGGCGCCUUCCAGUAUCCUGGGAGGCAUGCCUGUCCGAGCGUCGUUUCAACCCUCGAGCCCCCGUGGCCCGGCGUUGGGGAUCUGCCACGGCAGGCCCCUAAAACCAGUGGCGGACCCGAAGGCCCUCUCCUUUGCGCAGUAGCAUCAGCCUCGCAUUGGGAUCCCUCGGCGUCCUGCCUCUAAACCCCCCACAAGUCCGCUCCGGCGGCACCAAGGUUGACCUCGGAUCAGGUAGGAAUACCCGCUGAACUUAAGCAUAUCAAUAGCGGAGGA
rnacentral:misc_RNA from 1 species